rnacentral:rRNA from 1 species
AUUGAACGCUGGCGGCAGGCCUAACACAUGCAAGUCGAGCGGAUGAAGGGAGCUUGCUCCUGGAUUCAGCGGCGGACGGGUGAGUAAUGCCUAGGAAUCUGCCUGGUAGUGGGGGAUAACGUCCGGAAACGGGCGCUAAUACCGCAUACGUCCUGAGGGAGAAAGUGGGGGAUCUUCGGACCUCACGCUAUCAGAUGAGCCUAGGUCGGAUUAGCUAGUUGGUGGGGUAAAGGCCUACCAAGGCGACGAUCCGUAACUGGUCUGAGAGGAUGAUCAGUCACACUGGAACUGAGACACGGUCCAGACUCCUACGGGAGGCAGCAGUGGGGAAUAUUGGACAAUGGGCGAAGGCCUGGUCCAGCCAUGCCGCGUGUGUGAAGAAGGUCUUCGGAUUGUAAAGCACUUUAAGUUGGGAGGAAGGGCAGUAAGUUAAUACCUUGCUGUUUUGACGUUACCAACAGAAUAAGCACCGGCUAACUUCGUG